rnacentral:lncRNA from 1 species
AAAUGUCAUUGGCUUUUUUAAAAAAGAAAUGCUAUAUAGCUGCUUGGUCAUCAAAUUUCAAAACAUGUAACUGAAUGAGGCUUUUUUUUUCAGAAUGGCUUUCAAAAUACUGCAAUUGUGUAAUAAAUCAAGGAGCUAACUAGUGAAAGGUCUGUGGAUGUCUUUCCCUUUUCCUCCUCGGAACUGUCAGUCGACUGAAGGCUUGACAUUUUUGUACUGGAGAAUUUGAUUUUUGAGAAUAAAAAUGCUUUUCCACUAAAUAGGAAAUUUUACAAAAUUUUAUUUAUAAUGCUGAGAUUUUUGCUGAUGAUUCAGACUAAUUAUUUUAUAAUAAUAAAAGGUGAAAUAUGGAUGUGCAAACCAUGAAGGUGCAGUAGAAAAAUGUACCAAGACAGAGGGUUUUUUUCUUCCUCUCACAGGGUCUGUGGCCAUCUUCUUAGCAGUGGAGAGGCAGGCAAGGCUGGCGUUGCAGUUGGAAGGCUGUCUCCAUGGGCUGGGACAACUCCUGCUGGAACAGAGCACUGGAGAUCUGUGGAUAUCGGCAAGAUGAACAAAAGGCAAAAGAAAAUCCAAACAAAACACUACAAAAGCUUUCCUGUUAUAAACAGCACAGGAAGCAGUAACAACAAAGCCAGUAUUUGUGCCGGUGGAGGAAUAGUUUGGCUUCAGCUGGCUUCCAGCAUGGACACACCAUUUCUCCUCUGGCUGCAGGAGAUGCAUCAGGACAUUGUUUGUCUGCAAAACUGCAACUCUCACAGGCAAAGUUCCCCCUGCCCUUAAAGACAGCUUCGCAUUAGCAUCCCAGGGUCAGCCUGUAAGUUAGAACUGACACGUGGUGGUGCACAGGAAACCUGGGCUGGGAAUAAAACCUUACCCAAACUUGCACAGCAUGUUGUGAGUUCAGUUCAUCAAGUCUUUGUGUGCUGCCUCCGCUGCCAAAAGAGAUGCUGCGUUUCCUUGGCACCUGUGCUGACACGUGUGAUGCAUUGCAAAGAAACCAUAGCUGGCCUGGCAGCGGGCUCUGGACAAAUUCUGCCUAGGAAAGGAUGACAGAGGUGGCCCCACAGAAGGGAGUGAAAGAGGAGACUGUCUUGAAGGUGGGCAAGGAGAUAAGGGAGCUAGCUUGCAUUUGCAGGCCCUGUGGUUACUGUCAAGGCAAUCCUGUGCGUUGCCUCAUUGUUUCCCCA